GAUGAACGCUGGCGGCGUGCCUAAUACAUGCAAGUCGAGCGAAUGGAUUAAGAGCUUGCUCUUAUGAAGUUAGCGGCGGACGGGUGAGUAACACGUGGGUAACCUGCCCAUAAGACUGGGAUAACUCCGGGAAACCGGGGCUAAUACCGGAUAACAUUUUGAACCGCAUGGUUCGAAAUUGAAAGGCGGCUUCGGCUGUCACUUAUGGAUGGACCCGCGUCGCAUUAGCUAGUUGGUGAGGUAACGGCUCACCAAGGCAACGAUGCGUAGCCGACCUGGGAGGGUGAUCGGCCACACGGGGACUGAGACACGGCCCAGACUCCUACGGGAGGCAGCAGUAGGGAAUCUUCCGCAAUGGACGAAAGUCUGGCGGAGCAACGCCGCGUGAGUGAUGAAGGCUUUCGGGUCGUAAAACUCUGUUGUUAGGGAAGAACAAGUGCUAGUUGAGUAAGCUGGCACCUUGACGGUACCUAACCAGAAAGCCACGGCUAACUACGUGCCAGCCGCCGCAGUAA
rnacentral:rRNA from 1 species